rnacentral:rRNA from 1 species
CAGCAGCCACGGUAAUACGGAGGGUGCAAGCGUUAAUCGGAAUUACUGGGCGUAAAGCGUGCGUAGGCGGUUCGUUAAGUCUGUUGUGAAAGCCCCGGGCUCAACCUGGGAAUGGCAAUGGAUACUGGCGAGCUAGAGUGUGUCAGAGGAUGGUGGAAUUCCCGGUGUAGCGGUGAAAUGCGUAGAGAUCGGGAGGAACAUCAGUGGCGAAGGCGGCCAUCUGGGACAACACUGACGCUGAGGCACGAAAGCGUGGGGAGCAAACAGGAUUAGAUACCCCUGUAGUCCCUGUCUCUUAUAC